GACGAACCGUCCUAACGUUGUUCGGAAUCACUGGGCUUAAAGGGCGCGUAGGCGGCCCUGUAAGUCGGGGGUGAAAGCCCACGGCCCAACCGUGGAAGUGCCUCCGAUACUGCGGGGCUCGAGGGAGGUAGGGGCAGCGGGAACUUCCGGUGGAGCGGUGAAGUGCGUUGAUAUCGGAAGGAACGCCGGUGGCGAAAGCGCGCUGCUGGACCUCUGCUGACGCUGAGGCGCGAAAGCCAGGGGAGCAAACGGG
rnacentral:rRNA from 1 species